AAUACAGGCACGCCUCCUCCUCCUCGAGACGCUUUGUGGUCGUUAAGGACCGAAACAAACAAACUGUCCACAGUGAUGUCCUCAGCCAGGGAAGACACGUUGUCCCCGGAUGAGCUGAGGAAAAGACUCUAUCAGACUUUCAGAAGUAACGGAGUGCUGGAUACCCUCAAAACCCAGCUCAGGAAUCAGCUCAUCCAGGAGCUGAGACAUCCACCUC